GACAGAGGAUGCAAGCGUUAUCCGGAAUCACUGGGCGUAAAGCGUCUGUAGGUGGUUUAAUAAGUCAACUGUUAAAUCUUGAGGCUCAACCUCAAAAUCGCAGUCGAAACUAUUAGGCUAGAGUAUAGUAGGGGUAAAGGGAAUUUCCAGUGGAGCGGUGAAAUGCGUAGAGAUUGGAAAGAACACCGAUGGCGAAGGCACUUUACUGGGCUAUUACUAACACUCAGAGACGAAAGCUAGGGUAGCAAAUGGG
rnacentral:rRNA from 1 species